rnacentral:rRNA from 1 species
CAAGUCGAACGGGAAUCUUCGGAUUCUAGUGGCGGACGGGUGAGUAACGCGUAAGAAUCUAACUUCAGGACGGGGACAACAGUUGGAAACGACUGCUAAUACCCGAUAUGCCGCGAGGUGAAACCUAAUUGGCCUGAAGAAGAGCUUGCGUCUGAUUAGCUAGUUGGUGGGGUAAGAGCCUACCAAGGCGACGAUCAGUAGCUGGUCUGAGAGGAUGAGCAGCCACACUGGGACUGAGACACGGCCCAGACUCCUACGGGAGGCAGCAGUGGGGAAUUUUCCGCAAUGGGCGAAAGCCUGACGGAGCAACGCCGCGUGAGGGAGGAAGGUCUUUGGAUUGUAAACCUCUUUUCUCAAGGAAGAAGUUCUGACGGUACUUGAGGAAUCAGCCUCGGCUAACUCCGUGCCAGCAGCCGCGGUAAUACGGGGGAGGCAAGCGUUAUCCGGAAUUAUUGGGCGUAAAGCGUCCGCAGGUGGUCAGCCAAGUCUGCCGUCAAAUCAGGUUGCUUAACGACCUAAAGGCGGUGGAAACUGGCAGACUAGAGAGCAGUAGGGGUAGCAGGAAUUCCCAGUGUAGCGGUGAAAUGCGUAGAGAUUGGGAAGAACAUCGGUGGCGAAAGCGUGCUACUGGGCUGUAUCUGACACUCAGGGACGAAAGCUAGGGGAGCGAAAGGGAUUAGAUACCCCUGUAGUCCUAGCCGUAAACGAUGGAUACUAGGCGUGGCUUGUAUCGACCCGAGCCGUGCCGAAGCUAACGCGUUAAGUAUCCCGCCUGGGGAGUACGCACGCAAGUGUGAAACUCAAAGGAAUUGACGG